rnacentral:rRNA from 1 species
GACGAACGCUGGCGGCGUGCUUAACACAUGCAAGUCGAACGAUGAACCCGGAGCUUGCUCCGGUGGAUUAAUGGCGAACGGGUGAGUAACACGUGAGUAACCUGCCCUUGACUCUGGGAUAACUGCGGGAAACUGUAGCUAAUACCGGAUACGACCCUCGGCGGCAUCGCCAGGGGGUGGAAAGAAUUUCGGUCAAGGAUGGACUCGCGGCCUAUCAGCUAGUUGGUGAGGUAACGGCUCACCAAGGCGACGACGGGUAGCCGGCCUGAGAGGGUGACCGGCCACACUGGGACUGAGACACGGCCCAGACUCCUACGGGAGGCAGCAGUGGGGAAUAUUGCACAAUGGGCGCAAGCCUGAUGCAGCAACGCCGCGUGAGGGAUGACGGCCUUCGGGUUGUAAACCUCUUUUAGUAAGGACGAAAAUUGACGGUACUUAAUGAAUAAGCUCCGGCUAACUACGUGCCAGCAGCCGCAGUAACAC